GAUGAACGCCAGCUACAGGCUUAACACAUGCAAGUCGAGGGGUAACGAGAGGAAAGCUUGCUUUCCUUGUCGACGACCGGCGCACGGGUGAGUAACGCGUAUCCAACCUGCCUAUAACUAGGGAAUAACCUUGCGAAAGUAAGACUAAUACCCUAUGAUUUCCUUUGAUGACAUCAGAUUAGGAAUAAAGAUUUAUCGGUUAUAGAUGGGGAUGCGUCUGAUUAGCUUGUUGGCGGGGUAACGGCCCACCAAGGCAACGAUCAGUAGGGGUUCUGAGAGGAAGGUCCCCCACAUUGGAACUGAGACACGGUCCAAACUCCUACGGGAGACAGCAGUGAGGAAUAUUGGUCAAUGGGCGGAAGCCUGAACCAGCCAAGUAGCGUGCAGGAUGACGGCCCUAUGGGUUGUAAACUGCUUUUAUACAGGAAUAAAGUUAGCCACGUGUGGUUAUUUGUAGGUACUGUAUGAAUAAGGACCGGCUAAUUCCGUGCCAGCCGCCGCGGUAA
rnacentral:rRNA from 1 species